rnacentral:rRNA from 1 species
UACGUAGGUGGCAAGCGUUUGUCCGGAUUUAUUGGGUUUAAAGGGUGCGUAGGCGGUCUUUUAAGUCAGUGCUGAAAUACUCCAGCUUAACUGGAGGGGUGGCAUUGAUACUGGGAGACUUGAGUGUAGUCGAGGUAGGCGGAAUUGACGGUGUAGCGGUGAAAUGCUUAGAUAUCGUCAAGAACACCGAUAGUGAAGACAGCUUACUAGGCUACAACUGACGCUGAGGCACGAAAGUGUGGGGAUCAAACAGG